rnacentral:rRNA from 1 species
UGGGGAAUAUUGGACAAUGGGCGCAAGCCUGAUCCAGCAAUGCCGCGUGAGUGAGGAAGGCCUUAGGGUUGUAAAGCUCUUUCGCACGCGACGAUGAUGACGGUAGCGUGAGAAGAAGCCCCGGCUAACUUCGUGCCAGCAGCCGCGGUAAUACGAAGGGGGCGAGCGUUGUUCGGAUUUACUGGGCGUAAAGGGCGCGCAGGCGGCUCCACAAGUCAGGCGUGAAAGCCCCGGGCUCAACCUGGGAAUUGCGUUUGGGACUGUGGGGCUAGAGAUCGGGAGAGGAGAGUGGAAUUCCCAGUGUAGAGGUGAAAUUCGUAGAUAUUGGGAAGAACACCGGUGGCGAAGGCGGCUCUCUGGACCGAUACUGACGCUGAGGCGCGAAAGCGUGGGGAGCAAACAG